CCUACGGGUGGCAGCAGUGGGGAAUAUUGCGCAAUGGGCGAAAGCCUGACGCAGCGACGCCGCGUGAGGGAUGAAGGUCUUCGGAUCGUAAACCUCUUUCAGCAGGGAAGAACGGUCACUGUGCUAAUCAGCAGUGAAUUGACGGUACCUGCAACGGAAGCACCGGCUAACCCCGUGCCAGCAGCCGCGGUAAUACGGAGGGUGCGAGCGUUAAUCGGAAUUACUGGGCGUAAAGCGGUCGUAGGCGGUAUGUCAAGUCAAGGGUGAAAUCCCCGCGCUCAACGUGGGAACUGCCUUUGAAACUGGCAAACUGGAGUGUGGGAGAGGAUAGUGGAAUUCCAGGUGUAGGAGUGAAAUGCGUAGAUAUCUGGAGGAACAUCAGUGGCGAAGGCGACUAUCUGGCACAUAACUGACGCUGAGGAGCGAAAGCGUGGGUAGCAAACAGGAUUAGAUACCCGAGUAGUC
rnacentral:rRNA from 1 species